GGAGAGGUGACUGAGCGGUUGAAAGUACUCGCCUCGAAAGCGAGCGUGGGGGAAACUCCACCGUGGGUUCAAAUCCCACCCUCUCCGCCA
rnacentral:tRNA from 1 species